rnacentral:rRNA from 1 species
AAUCAACGCUGGCGGCGUGGAUAAGACAUGCAAGUCGAGCGGGAACUUUCGCUGUAGCAAUACAGUGAAAGUUCUAGCGGCGAACGGGUGCGUAACACGUGGACAAUCUGCCUUAAAGUGGGGGAUAGCUCGGCGAAAGCCGAAUUAAUACCGCAUGUGAUGAGAGACGACAUCGUCUUGAAAUCAAAGCCGGGGCAACCUGGCGCUUUUUGUAGGAGUCCGCGGCCUAUCAGCUAGUUGGUGAGGUAACGGCCCACCAAGGCUAUGACGGGUAGCUGGUCUGAGAGGACGGACCAGUCACACUGGAACUGAGACACGGUCCAGACACCUACGGGUGGCAGCAGUCGAGAAUUUUU